ensembl:lncRNA
AGACAGACAGGUAUUGGAGUGAGAGAGUCAGAGAGAAAUAUUAAGGAGAAAGUCUCUAAAACAUGACCACUGCUCUGGAAAGACAUAUUGGGUUUGUAAAGCCCUUCAGUGCAAACCCUUUUCUCAACUAUCAGUGGAUGCACAACGGACAGUGCCUUUCACAUGCCCAUGAAGCUGCUGAAGGAUGUGGAGACACCUGCAGAAGCCAAAGGGGUCACCACCACUUUGGGAAGCAGGAACAAAGAGAGCAGCAGAAAACAGCAGUCUGGUGCAUUGGAGAGGUGGCUGACUCUGCUCAGACACAGACACACAGCUCUCUGUGAAGUAAUCAUCUUUUGCGGCCUGAUUAGGACUUACUCACUGAUGUAAUGGCUCCACAGAAACCAGCUUCCAACAGGGGUAAUAAAGUCCAAAGGACAGCAGCAGUAGAAGGCACUGGUUACAAAGACAUACAAUUACAUAAAUAAUUCAAAAGGUGUCCUUUCCCAUGCAUCCUGUGCUUUCCAGUGCCUUUUAUGCAUCACAUACAUUUUGCUCCUGCUCCUUUUUUUUAAGAGAUCACUAUUAACUGACUCUUCCACACAUCCAUUUCAGCCUGAAUUUUACAAAAAUUCAGCAAUAUUGGAAGGUGUGGCUGCCACAGGCAAGGAACACCUGAACGUGUCUGUUUGUUUACAUGCCUCCAGCCAUGAUAGGUAGUAGCAAGGUCUUUGACUCCACAGAGCUCUAGAGAACCACCUGGUCUUUCACACUAGAUACCGUUGAUGAGAAGCUAAUUUCCUAGAGCACCUUUGCAUCUACUCUCAGUUACCUGUUUGAUAAUGGGUCUACUGGGAUGUCUAAGGGAGUCACCCUGGCUUUCAAACCCUGUUGGUCCCAUCCUUCUAAGAACUAUCUCCAAGUUCAUGGUGCAACCACCAGCAUAAAACCCCAAGCCAUGAGGUUUCCCUGUAGAGGUGACCACGCUUCCAGCUUCCCCUGCCCCUUUCCCUUGUUUUCCAUCACUGCAGAAAACUCGCUCCUUGAAAAACAAUUACCCAGGGAAUGUUAGUGAUGUAAACUUGUUUAAACCUGAGCACACAGUUAAGUCAGCUUUAUAAUUAAUUGCCUCAUCAUUUCAGUCAUCCUUCAGGAAUGUUGCACUGCUUGUUUGUCAUAAAGUGAAAAAGGGCCAGAUCCCCAGCAAAGAUCCCCCCCCCAAAGCAAAUGACACAAAGCACACAGAUCUGCAGCAGACCCAGUUCCACACUUGAGUGAAAACAAAGGAGGAGAAAUAUCAUCAGACCCAGUUCCAGUCCCACCAUGUUCCCAGGGCUGCAGUGUCCCACUGGCUGCUUCCCAGGGAAAGGACCCACAUCCCCAAGGCACGGCCACAGCAAACAAAACCAGGGUGCUGCAUUGUGGUGUGAACACCCUCCACCAGUGAUGCAAAGCCCCCCAGGGCUUCACUCCUCCCUGCCACAGGAAGGACACACAGUAAUAAACCCACUAGCAGUGCAUGGGAGCUAGUGGGAAGAGCGUGGAACUGAAAAACAUGUUACAGGUGGCUUGUCUGGAGACAAGGAAGAAGGACAGGGAGGGACAGUAGCAGUACCCAACAACACCUACUGCCUCACCUACCUGUGGUGAGAAGUGAUGAGGGUGAAGCCAGCUGAAGCUAUAAAACUCCAAUUAUAAUUAUCUUCCUUCCACUCACAUCUAAAUGCACCACAGGUGUGUGUGUGCAUUCAGAAGGUGGUUUUACCCACACACUCUCUUACUGAAGCUAGUCUCACCUACACAGAAAAGGGGGAACCAGCUUUUCUAAAAGUGACAAGAAAGCGAAGGGAGAGGAAGAAAAACAGUAAAGUGAAGUGAGAAAACUAAGGAGAGAGCAAGCUAAGCUUACAAGAGGAGUGUGUAGUGUGGUGAGGAGAGUACCAAAGCAAGAAGCAUUUAGUGUCUGGAUCUGUUCACGGUCAGUCUGUCCUUUUUACCUCUUAGAAGACUGAUGGCCAUUAUUAAAGAAGAAAGGGCUGAAUGGGAGAUAGUUAUUUCAAAGAAGAGCUGCUGUUAAUAUUUAUGGCUACCUUAAAAUUGCUAUUUACACACCAAUUAAAUAACUAAGUGGAAGAAAACACGAGGGUCUCAAUUAAAUAUGAGCUGAGUGAUGUGGCCAGCACAAACCUCAGCACACCUCCUAAAACAGCCUUCAUCCCCACAUCUGCCAGUGACCAAUGUGGCCUCCAGGUUACAGGUCUGUGGUGAAGAGAAGAUGCCUUUGGAUGGAUUUCUGGACAGGAUUUCCAUCACUGGGGGAAACAACUGUGUUCUGGCCGCCUCUCUUGCAUAGCUUCCAGCCCAUGAAGAGACGUCACUUCCCAGUCCUGCUCCUAUAGCAGCACACAGCUCUUCCAUGAGGAUCUGGGGGAAUUCUAGCACAAGGAUACAGGAAAGGCAAUCAAUGCCUAUGAUAAGAUGCACUCCAGCUAACUGCUGUAAUUUUUCCUCACUGGGUUGCAGAUGACCUAAUAGGCUCUUUUCUCAUCUCUAAUUUCUAUGAAUCUGCAAUCCUAUUAUUUAUAGUAUAUCUUGAGGGUUUCUUCAAGAGUAAAUGAUGUAAUUAUACCCUUCACCGUAGCACUUCAGGAUCUAGUGUAAUAGAACUAAAUAUGCAAUUAUGUGGUUAGUAAAUGUAACAGUACAAAACUCAAAAUCUAUAUCCAUGUACUGUAGCUUCAUAAGAAGAAUUAGUUUCCUGUUAUGUACACAGCAGAUGUAAUGUAAUUAUUGCUAACUGCAAAGUAUCACCAGACAUUCAUAUGACACAAAUGAAAAAUGCCACUCCAGCCAAUUCUUCAUUCAAACAUAUGAAAAUGGGAGGAUUCUCACAAUUCUGUCUUAUCAGUGAAGUGUAGGCACAUACAUUUGAUCCUCUACAUAUCAAGUCAAUCCUUCCCAGGCUUACAUACACACAGAACUCACAAAUAAUAUAUAUGCAAGCACAAAGUGAUGGAUUGGAUUCACCUCUGGUGUUAUUCCAGCAACUUCAGCGGAAUUACAGGAUGGUGGAAGAUAAUCCGUUGUGCAACCUGCGUUGAUUACAGUUGAGAGAAAUAAAACCGGG